AUUCCUCAUUUGCAAGUAGGCAAUUUGAUACGACAGAGGAACAUCAGGAUUUUGUCAUAUUCCUUGCACACUGGCCGGUACAUGAUAAUAAUGAUAUUAGCAUUAUAGCUGGGAGACGGUGAAUUUUGGGCUGGUUUGCCAACUGUUCAUUUUUUUAAUCUACCAGCAUAUAUGUCUCUUAUAAUCAAUAUAAGGAGUCUCUGAAAAAGAUGCUGAACUUGGAUUGUUCUAUAUGAUCUUGGAAAGAUGACAAUCUCUAUAUAUUCCAAUCUUGGAAUUUUUUAGAACUUUGGAUUUGGAUUGUUAUUCGUCUUCCUGUGUCGAAGUGUACAACAGUUCCUGAAAAAUAAUUGUGUCUUCCUAGAUGAUUUAUGCUUGCAGGCUGGCGGGUUGUCAUAUGUUGUGGAGCACCGGAGGCUGCAGUCUGAGCGCCUGAGCUUGGUGUAGACUGUAGACCGACUUUAACAGGAAGCUGCCGCUAUCUUUGUUAAACCUCAAUCAGCUAACAACACUCUUCGCUGCAAACAACCUAUUGCAGACUGACAUGAUUGUUUUGUCCGGCCAGAAAGCGCGGAUUGCCAAAAUAUUUAGAGAAAGCUUUAUGCCUAUAUACUGGAGAUGGAGUUACAAGAAUGAAUAAUUAUAGAAAGGUUUAUUGGUGACUACCAGUGAUGAUGGGGCAUGAAGAAAUCUAUAAGAGAAAUCAUAUUUAGUUCUGUUUUAUUAUGCCAAACAUAGUUUGCAAACUUGUAGUCAGAGGUGAUGUUUUAUUCUGCUGUGUGGUCAUGUUUAUUUUAGCAGUACUCUGGUCAUUAUGUUAUUGUUACUUUGGUUGAGACAUGUAUUUGAAGUUAAUGAAGAUUUGAGUUCUUAUAUGCGAUGAUGAAA